UGCAGGUAGGUAGCAAUAGAGGAAUGUCUAAAACAGAAAGCCAAAUUGAUUCCUUGUGAGAUCCACUUGCAAAGAGCAAUGCACAUUUGAUGGAUGACGGAUCUAGAUCAUAUGUACGGGAAAUAAUUCGAGUGGUCCCGGGACAUUGUAAGGUGAUGGUUGAAGAUUGAGACGUGUAUAUGUGUACAAUGCUUCGAAGGAUGGAAGAAAGACUUAUAGUGUCCGUGGUUGGGAUGGCUCGCAUGGAUGGAAUUGAACUGUUAUGGAAACGUGCAGAGGAUGCUGCUGAUGAUAAGCUUCUACUCGCAACAUCAGAAACUGGGGGUCUGCAGAUAGGCUGGGGUCUUCCUUCUUUGGCCAACUCAGUCUAAGUAAGCAUCAUUUCUGUGGGAUUUACUUUUUAAUGAUUUUUUGUUGAAACUUUUGAUGGUGAUUCAUUAUAUGGAAAUGGUGUUGAGAUUCUUAAAGAUUUGAUGGGGUUUAGGAGUAAUUGUUGUUAAUAGGGUUUAGCAGUAAAUUUGAAUUGAAAUUGCAAAUUGUUAUAUUUCUGUCCAUGUAUUCUCUCA